CGGCGGACGGGUGAGUAACGCGUGGGUAACCUGCCUCAUACAGGGGGAUAACAGUUAGAAAUGACUGCUAAUACCGCAUAAGACCACAGCACCGCAUGGUGCGGGGGUAAAAACUCCGGUGGUAUGAGAUGGACCCGCGUCUGAUUAGCUGGUUGGUAAGGUAACGGCUUACCAAGGCGACGAUCAGUAGCCGACCUGAGAGGGUGACCGGCCACAUUGGGGCUGAGACACGGCCCAA
rnacentral:rRNA from 1 species